rnacentral:rRNA from 1 species
UGCCAGCAGCCGCGGUAAUACGUAGGGUGCAAGCGUUAAUCGGAAUUACUGGGCGUAAAGCGUGUGUAGGCGGUUUGUAAGUCAGAUGUGAAAGCCCACGGCUCGACCGUGGAAUUGCAUUUGAUGCUGCAUCGCUAGAGUAUAGGAGAGGGAAGUGGAAUUUCUGGUGUAGGAGUGAAAUCCGUAGAGAUCAGAAGGAACACCGGUGCGAAGGCGACUUCCUGGACUAUUACUGACACUGAGGAGCGAAAGCGUGGGGAGCAAACAGGAUUAGAUA